CAGUCGAGCGGAUGAGAGGAGCUUGCUCCUCGAUUCAGCGGCGGACGGGUGAGUAAUGCCUAGGAAUCUGCCUAGUAGUGGGGGACAACGUUUCGAAAGGAACGCUAAUACCGCAUACGUCCUACGGGAGAAAGUGGGGGAUCUUCGGACCUCACGCUAUUAGAUGAGCCUAGGUCGGAUUAGCUAGUUGGUAGGGUAAAGGCCUACCAAGGCGACGAUCCGUAACUGGUCUGAGAGGAUGAUCAGUCACACUGGAACUGAGACACGGUCCAGACUCCUACGGGAGGCAGCAGUGGGGAAUAUUGGACAAUGGGCGAAAGCCUGAUCCAGCCAUGCCGCGUGUGUGAAGAAGGCCCUCGGGUCGUAAAGCACUUUAAGUUGGGAGGAAGGGCUUACAGCGAAUACCUGUGAGUUUUGACGUUACCGACAGAAUAAGCACCGGCUAACUUCGUGCCAGCAGCCGCGGUAAUACGAAGGGUGCAAGCGUUAAUCGGAAUUACUGGGCGUAAAGCGCGCGUAGGUGGCUUGAUAAGUUGGAUGUGAAAUCCCCGGGCUCAACCUGGGAACUGCAUCCAAAACUGUCUGGCUAGAGUGUGGUAGAGGGUAGUGGAAUUUCCAGUGUAGCGGUGAAAUGCGUAGAUAUUGGAAGGAACACCAGUGGCGAAGGCGACUACCUGGACUAACACUGACACUGAGGUGCGAAAGCGUGGGGAGCAAACAGGAUUAGAUACCCUG
rnacentral:rRNA from 2 species